AUUGAACGCUGGCGGCAGGCCUAACACAUGCAAGUCGAACGGGUGGCGGACGGGCGAGUAAUGUAUGGGGAUCUGCCUGAUGGAGGGGGCUAACUACUGGAAACGGUAGCUAAUACCGCAUACCAUCAGAUGAACCCACAUGGGAUUAGCUUGUAGGGGAGGUAACGGCUAACCUAGGCGACGAUCCCUAGCUGGUCUGAGAGGAUGAUCGGCCACACUGGGACUGAUACACGGCCCAGACUCCUACGGGAGGCAGCAGUGGGGAAUAUUGCACAAUGGGCGCAAGCCUGAUGCAGCCAUGCCGCGUGAAUGAAGAAGGCCUUCGGGUUGUAAAGUACUUUCAGUCGAGAGGCGUUACCGACAGAAAAAGCACCGGCUAACUCCGUGCCAGCAGCCGCGGUAAUUC
rnacentral:rRNA from 1 species